rnacentral:rRNA from 1 species
UGCCAGCCGCCGCGGUAAUACGGAGGGUGCAAGCGUUGUUCGGAAUUAUUGGGCGUAAAGCGCGUGUAGGCGGUUCGUUAAGUCUGAUGUGAAAGCCCGGGGCUCAACCCCGGAAGUGCAUUGGAAACUGGCGAACUUGAGUACGGGAGAGGAAAGUGGAAAUCCGAGUGUAGGGGUGAAAUGCGUAGAUAUUAGGAGGAACACCAGUGGCGAAGGCGACUUACUGGACUGCAACUGACGUUGAGGCACGAAAGCGUGGGGAGCAAACAGGAUUAGAUA